UACAGAGGUCUCAAGCGUUGUUCGGAUUCAUUGGGCGUAAAGGGUGCGUAGGUGGCGCUGUAAGUCGGGUGUGAAAUUUCGGAGCUUAACUCCGAAACUGCAUUCGAUACUGCGGUGCUUGAGGACUGGAGAGGAGACUGGAAUUCAUGGUGUAGCAGUGAAAUGCGUAGAGAUCAUGAGGAAUACCGAUGGCGAAGGCAGGUCUCUGGGCUGACACUGACGCUCAUGCACGAAAGUGUGGGGAGCAAACAGG
rnacentral:rRNA from 1 species